UUAGAUUUGGUCUUUGCUGGGGGCAAUGUUUGGAACCUGCUAUAGCUUGGAGCUCUGUUGGAAGACUGUGUAUCUUAGACCUUGACCUUGGAUUACGUAUAGUUUGGUUGUGUUGCUCCUUCCACUUGAAACUCUACUUUGUAAUAACAUUCAUUUGAACAGUACGGACACUUUGCAAGCAAUCCUUUGCCUUUCUGUGAAAGCUGGUGCUGGCGGGUGGAUUCUGGGAGCUGUCAUCCACAAAAAAGGGUCUUAGUCAGAGUCUGGGCUUCAUCUGUUGCUGGGUUAAAUCCCCACUGCUGUUACCCAGUUUGGACGACUUACUUUAUGGACUACACAUCUCAGGGUCCUGUAGCUGAAUUGUAAUCCAAAAUAAAACCCAAGCUUGGUGUUUUACAAGUUUCAACACACAAUGAUACCAGAUAUUUGAGAGAUUAUGGAAUUCUAGGUUUGAAUUCAUGUGAAACUUAAGUCUCUUAUCACAAACAAGGCUGCAAAAAAAUAAAAAGUCAAAAAGCUGAUAGUCUCAGCAUGGAUUACAAUAUUUCCUUGAAGUGUUAGGCUACUCAAGGUUGUCAUGUACUUCAUGUUCUAAAAUAACCUUUAAUAAAUUCAAAUAAACUGUUGUAACUUCAGGAUAAAAAGCUGCAGAAGCUUUUCUGCCUGCCUGUGUAGCUGUACUUUUUCUUGUGCAUUUUUGGCGUCCCUUGUCCUCUUAUGUCUACACUCACUACAUGUUCUCAGUUCAUCAUCUUUAUUGUAUUAAUUGGUCUUCUACAGAGGCAAAAAGGGAGGUGCAGUUUAUACAUUCUUUAAAUUAGUUUUGACUCGGUUUUGGGAAGCAAGGAGCUAGAGGACAAUAAUUGUGAAUAUCAGAGAGUCUACAUCUUUUAAGAUCAGUUUCUAUAGCAAUGGUACCUUGUGCUUCCUGUCGGCUCAUCAACUUCAAAGGUCUUCAGAAACAUCAGUAAGCUUAAACUUGUUUCCUCAGGCAGUAACAUACACUUUCAUAUCCUUGUGUGUGUAGACUGAUGCCAGUGUACUGAAAAUCAUCUCUGGAAUGAUUCUUUAAGUAGAGAAUAAUUCCUCCUUUCAGGCAGUUUGUCCCCAGAUUUCCUGCAUCAAUAUCCUACACAAGAUACAAAACAGGAUGAUGGGUCCAGAAGAGGCAUGAGGUAGGCACACUCUAGCUAUACACAUAUAAUGAAAAAAUAUACUGGAAUAUGACCUUUGCAGUGUUCCACUUCCUCAGUGUAAAUGAGUAAAUCCUGUACAGCAAAGGCAUUCAAUUUGUUGGGCUCGAGACUCUGGCAAUGAAA
rnacentral:lncRNA from 11 species